rnacentral:rRNA from 1 species
GACGUAGGAGGCGAGCGUUGUCCGGAUUCAUUGGGCGUAAAGAGCACGCAGGCGGUUUGGCAAGUCGGAUGUGAAAACCCGAGGCUUAACCUCGGGCCUGCAGUCGAUACGGGCAGACUAGAGUUCGGUAGGGGAGACUGGAAUUCCUGGUGUAGCGGUGAAAUGCGCAGAUAUCAGGAGGAACACCGGUGGCGAAGGCGGGUCUCUGGGCCGAUACUGACGCUGAGGAGCGAAAGCGUGGGGAGCGAACAGG